UACGUAGGGGGCAAGCGUUGUCCGGAAUCAUUGGGCGUAAAGAGCGUGUAGGCGGCCCGAUAAGUCCGCUGUGAAAGUCCAGGGCUCAACCCUGGGAUGCCGGUGGAUACUGUCGGGCUCGAGUCCGGAAGAGGAGUGUGGAAUUCCUGGUGUGAGCGGUGAAAUGCGCAGAUAUCAGGAGGAACACCGGUGGCGAAGGCGGAUCUCUGGGCCUUACCUGACGCUCAGGUGCGAAAGCUAGGGGAGCGAACAGG
rnacentral:rRNA from 1 species